rnacentral:misc_RNA from 1 species
UUAUCCUCUGGAAAUGCCAAUCUGUCGAUGUACAAAUCAUCCAAUCAUAUUAUGUCAAUCACAACCAAAAUAUUCUAAAUGGCACAGAAUCAUUCAGUUAUCCACUUAUUCUAUACAAUCACAGAAAUUUCCUGGAAUUUGCACCUUUCAUCCUGUAAGCUAUAAGGUAUACCAUCAUCUUAGACAUUCAACUAAACAUGUAGCGAGAACAAUACAAGGAAAAUGAAAUUUAAAAAA